rnacentral:misc_RNA from 1 species
GUAGGUGAACCUGCGGAAGGAUCAUUAACAAAUGUUUCCACACCACCCAUCUUUGCAAACUGUUACCUUUAAUUGGCGUGCCUGGUUUAGGAUCCGUCAUGGGUCCCGGGGUUCGUAUGAUACUCUGUAUCUACCGCGUCUUAUCAAACUACUGACAUUUUACUGACAUCAAUAUAUUAAAUUAUAUACAAUGACAACUUUUAGCAAUGGAUCUCUAGGCUCUUGCAUCGAUGAAGAACGCAGCAUCUGA